rnacentral:rRNA from 1 species
GCCCAGACUCCUACGGGAGGCAGCAGUGGGAAUAUUGCACAAUGGGCGAAAGCCUGAUGCAGCAACGCCGCGUGAGGGAUGACGGCCUUCGGGUUGUAACCUNUUUUAGCAAGGAAGAAGCGAAAGUGACGGUACUUGCAGAAAAAGCGCCGGCUAACUACGUGCCAGCAGCCGCGGUAAUACGUAGGGCGCAAGCGUUAUCCGGAAUUAUUGGGCGUAAAGAGCUCGUAGGCGGUUUGUCGCGUCUGCUGUGAAAACUGGAGGCUCAACCUCCAGCCUGCAGUGGGUACGGGCAGACUAGAGUGCGGUAGGGGAGAUUGGAAUUCCUGGUGUAGCGGUGGAAUGCGCAGAUAUCAGGAGGAACACCGAUGGCGAAGGCAGAUCUCUGGGCCGUAACUGACGCUGAGGAGCGAAAGGGUGGGGAGCAAACAGGCUUAGAUACCCUGGUAGUCCACCCCGUAAACGUUGGGAACUAGUUGUGGGGACCAUUCCACGGUUUCCGUGACGCAGCUAACGCAUUAAGUUCCCCGCCUGGGGAGUACGGCCGCAAGGCUAAAACUCAAAGGAAUUGACGGGGACCCGCACAAGCGGCGGAGCAUGCGGAUUAAUUCGAUGCAACGCGAAGAACCUUACCAAGGCUUGACAUAUACGAGAACGCUGCAGAAAUGUAGAACUCUUUGGACACUCGUAUACAGGUGGUGCAUGGUUGUCGUCAGCUCGUGUCGUGAGAUGUUGGGUUAAGUCCCGCAACGAGCGCAACCCUCGUUCUAUGUUGCCAGCACGUAAUGGUGGGAACUCAUGGGAUACUGCCGGGGUCAACUCGGAGGAAGGUGGGGAUGACGUCAAAUCAUCAUGCCCCUUAUGUCUUGGGCUUCACGCAUGCUACAAUGGCCGGUACAAAGGGCUGCAAUACCGUGAGGUGGAGCGAAUCCCAAAAAGCCGGUCCCAGUUCGGAUUGAGGUCUGCAACUCGACCUCAUGAAGUCGGAGUCGCUAGUAAUCGCAGAUCAGCAACGCUGCGGUGAAUACGUUCCCGGGUCUUGUACACACCGCCCGUCAAGUCAUGAAAGUCGGUAACACCUGAAGCCGGUGGCCUAACCCUUGUGGAUGGGAGCCGUCGAAGGUGUUUCGAUUCCCC